CUCUUAUCGAAAACAUUGAUACUGCGUGUAUAAAUAAAUACGUACACGGAAAAAUAUAUCGGAUGAGUCGCAACCUACAGCUUUAGCGGAGUGAUAACAAUGCAACGAAUACAUGUCAACCGGAAACGAGCCACUGUAAGUGUCGGAACAGAAGCUGUGGGAGUACGCACUCCAGCCACUUGAAGAUAAGGUUCAACGGGAUACACGUAGGACUCGAAUGGCAUUUAUAAGAAGAAUUCUGCGUCCGCUUACGACCUAUCAGGCGAACCACUCCCUCUCUUGACACAUGAAAUCACAUUGGGUGACCGUCACAUAAUCACAUUUAAAUACCGGAUCGGCUUGUUUGGAUCCUUGUCAAGCAGCUGUGAAAUUAUUAAAGAGAUACUGACACUUUGCGAGCGGGAUUUUCCUAAUAUUCAUGGUCUAGGUCAAGAAUUGAGAGACCUCGUUUCCGCGAAGUCUGUUCAGGUCUUCACAACAGAGACGUUUCGCCAUCACUUUGAUUCUGGUUCAAAUAAAAGGACUCCGAACAUAAUGCUCCAAGAUAUUACACAUUAUAUCAAAUAUACCAAUACAUUUGCAUUGGUUGUUUUUGAUAAUUUUCUGCAAGCAGCCGUUAUCAAGUUUUCAACAAUUCAGACAUCCGUUUGACUGCACUUUUACUGUUUGGCGACGUUCUGAACUUUCCAGAUAACCCCAAAAUACUUUGUAUCCAAACUCACCCGAAUGAGGUCAUGAAGAACGCUGCACGUGUAUUGGAAAUGUGUGCAUUUUUGUUAUUGAAAUCGAUACAGCGUACUGUACAACAAUAUGAUGGACACAGUAAUGCCUCGCGAAGAAAAAAGGCUGAACUUCUGGAUCUGAUUGACCUCAUUGUGUUAACAUACGAAAGAAGCUUCAACUUCUCAUCAUCAAACAAAAUAAGUAUGGUGAAUUGAAUUCAUGUAUUUACGCACAGGACCUAAAAGAUUAAACUGUAUUAACCUGAAAAUAGAAGCGGGUUAUCUACAUAAAAAUUCUAAUUCUGGUAAUUUUGUAAACACAUUUUGUUUGGGCAAAAAGAACUAAAUUUAACAUACAUAGUAAAAAAUACUGAAAAACAAUCGUUUUUUAUCUGUAAUUAUUUUAUCUGUAACAUUUAUAUCCCCAUCUUAUUAAUUUCUAAUAUAUUUGACAAUUGAAUCAAUUCUUCUAAACUAUAUCAUAAGUGGUGGACAAAACAUGAUAACUUAUGAAAUAAAAAUUAUGAGGCAUCAAGAUCAAGAAGAUGAACUGUAACAUGUAAAUUACUCCACUGAAACUAUUUUAACUUGUUGGUGGAUAAAAACAAAUAAAAAUAAAUGAAGCUAGAUUGACUACCUAUACAUGUCUUUGAUGGUGGAAAUAUAAACCAUCAACUCCGCGAAUCUUACUCUCUCUCUAUGCUCCAAUAUCAAUAUGAAGCAAUUGCUUGUAUUUAUUCAUUUUGUAAGAAAGUGUCGUUUUUCAAAUGGCUAUUAUUAAAUGUAGACUUUUUCGACCUUCUAAUGCAUACAAUCCAUUUUUAUUUCUUAUUUACUCUUUUCCUUUUUUAGUUGAAUGAUUUGUAUGUUCAAUUAUUUUUCCUACAUGCCUAUUAAUACUUUUUUGUAUAUUAACAUUUGACUAUCGUUCGAUCUUUCAAACCGUAAACAAAAAUAAUUCGAAUAUAUAUGCAUGCAUAUGAUGAAGAGAAUACGUAUGAUAUAAAUUUGUAUAUAACAUAUAUAUUUUUUUCCAGAUUUUUAAUUGUUUACAUUGUUAGGUAAGAAAUGCUGUGUGCUAUUUUUAUUGUAUAUAUUAAUUCGGCAUUGAACAAAAUGAUGACGUCGCUUAUUAAUUAAUAUCAACAUGAUUAUUCAUCUAAAGCAUAUUUAAUGAUUACUAUUUUCACUGGAGUAUUUAUAUGUGUUUAAUUUAUGUUGUAUUCUAUUGUUGAUAAUUUUACAGGACAGAAGUAUACAUUCAAUAUCGUAUUCACUAUUUCAUUGUUGAACCUUACAAUCAUACCACAUGCUAUAUAGUCUAAAUUAAUUCAAAUUUUUGCAUCACUUCAAUAUUAUGCAUAAUAAUCGUGUUUUUAUCGUGUCAAUGAUACAUGUUUAAGUUCAUUUGAUGUACCGGUAUGUUUCAUAGUUUGUUGUCAACAAUAUUUAUUUAAACUACCACACUUAUUUAAACGAUGCAUGAAGAUGUGUGUCUUCGUAUCCCUUUUAAUGCUUUUUAUGACAUUGACUAAAUAGCGAUACACAUAUUAAUUAACAUGAUAUUGUUUUUAUCUUAAGGAACAUCUCAUCUUAGCUUCUUUUGCAUUUAGUAGUAAAAGAGUCGAGUUGACAAAAUAAUACAAUGAGCUAAGUUAUAUUUCACACUUUUAAAAACGCAAUCUAAUAGACUAGUGUUUUUUGAAACUAUUUAUUGAUUAUUUUUUACCAACGGUGCAACUAUCAAUUGAUACUUAAUACAAGGCAGUAUCACUUCCUUGUUUGGUGGGAUUUUGAUUCUUUAUUGAUACCGAGAUUUGUAUGCAUAUUGUUUAAAGCGAGACUAAACGAUUUUAAAUGUGUUAAAUAUAUUGAUAAAAAUAUUUAACAAUAAAACAAAAUAUUAUAUUUACAAUUAUAUAUUGAAGACGAAUUUCUUAAAAUGCAGCAAAAAAGCGCCCUGAGCCGAUUGUGACGAAGAUAUUUCGUACACAUUUUCCUACAAUAACCGAAGCAUUCGUCUUUUUAUUGUGAUCGGAGUUAGUGUUCGUGUGUCGUAUGAAUAGAUAUCGUUGCAGGAAUUUAAACUGAACCGUUAAACUAAAUUUAGAUUCACAUCGUACAUGUAUGUUAUACAUGCUGGCGAAUUCGACGAUACAGACAUUUUCGAUUUCAGAAUUAAAUAUCUGGCUUAUUUCGCAUUUUUCGACACAUGAUCUUCUUAACUUUUAUUUCAAUGUAUAUUGAAAUUUAUGUAUAAUAUUUUCUUUACACUUUUUAUAUAAAUUCAUAGAUAUUUGACAAAAUUGGUCGUAUAGUCUCCCUUUAAGUUUGCUGUUCGAAAGUAUCAUUAAAUUUUGUUUAAGUAUGUAUACUCAAAUUCAUAUGCCGUGUAAAGUCUGCAUUUUUUAUUUUAACUUGUUUUAUAACUAUUGUUCUACGCAGACACUUGUUUGACUGCUAUAACGUUUUCAUAAACAAGUUUAAUAGCUUAACGCUUAAUUAUAGAAUUUCCAAACUCACCUUUAAAAAAUUUAAAGUAAAUAAACGUUCACGAACUCAUGCGAAAUAAACAGUAAAAAUAAAGUUCCAUUACUUGCUAGUACAAAAAAUAUAAUUCGUCGUUGUGAACAAUUGGCUUGGAAUAAAGACCUAUGAUCACGAACAUAUCCAGUCAGUAUGCUGACUUAGAUUGAGUUUCUUCAUUAAAUAUUUUCGAUGUAUUUGACUCUCUUGCUUGAUUUGGUUUUCAAGGAGUUGUUUAGAAGUUUUGAGUCUGAGUCAACCCUAAGAUUCAGAAAGAACAUGUGUAUUUCGUAUAGCUGAGAUUUGAAGUUGUUCGUUAGCGGACCGAUAUUCUAAAUGCUCAGCUUAGUGGGAUCUCAAAUCUCGUCUUUUGAGUUGAGCAAAAGAUUGAGAAUGUUCUUGACACCGGACCAAGGUCUUUUUAACUGUGUUGAGUCUUUUGUUAUAAUACUUUUUAUAAACAUUUCAGACUUAGAUAAUAAAAUUGCCUUCGGUGAUGUUAAAAACAGCGCGACGUUUUAAAAUUAAAUCACCCUUUACAAAAAAAAUGAUGUAAAUUGUUGUUUUUUUGCCAUUUGUUUUGUUAACAUUUGCUUCAAAUAAAGGCUUUGUACGCAUUUUUAUAUUAAAACACAUCUGA